rnacentral:lncRNA from 1 species
UGAAGAUGUUAUUAUUUAGGUCUAAAGGAAAAAUAAUAUUAAGUUACAAAAAAGAACAGAUAGCCUUUUUUGAUUUUUCGUAACACUUGUUUUGUCUUUGUAGCCAAGAGCAACCUCUUACACAACACCAAACAAGACAACAGACAUACAACAAAAAUGAAACAAUUGAAAUAUUAGAAGUAAAUUGAAACUAGUUGAUGAGAGAAACCUCAAGGGAUAUUUGUAGCAACCAUGCGAUUGAGCUCAUAUUCACUACACAAAACUGACCAUUUAUAAGCCACGUCAAACAAUUCUUGCUCAACUUUUCUUUUAUCUUCCAACAGUUGAGAUCUGUCCUUCAUCACAUUGUCAAGCUCCUUUUUGUACCCUAUAGUUUCCGCAAUGCAUUUAUUCUUUUCCUUCUCCAAAGAUGAUAAGG